GCGCCAGAAGAGUGUAACGGACUGUACUAAUGACCACUAGUCAUCUGACUACGGAUCAGAAGGUUAGGGGUUCGAGUCCCUUCGGGCGCA
rnacentral:tRNA from 1 species